rnacentral:rRNA from 1 species
CCUACGGGCGGCAGCAGUGAGGAAUAUUGGUCAAUGGGCGGAAGCCUGAACCAGCCAAGUAGCGUGCAGGAUGACGGCCCUACGGGUUGUAAACUGCUUUUAUACGGGAAUAACGCGCCUUACGUGUAGGGCUUUGCAUGUACCGUAUGUAUAAGGACCGGCUAAUUCCGUGCCAGCAGCCGCGGUAAUACGGAGGGUCCGGGCGUUAUCCGGAUUUAUUGGGUUUAAAGGGAGCGUAGGCGGCAUGUCAAGCGUGCUGUGAAAUGUCCGGGCUCAACCCGGGCCUUGCAGCGCGAACUGGCGGGCUGGAGUGCGCGGAAAGCAGGCGGAAUUCGUCGUGUAGCGGUGAAAUGCUUAGAUAUGACGAAGAACCCCGAUUGCGAAGGCAGCUUGCUGCAGCGGAACUGACGCUGAUGCUCGAAAGCGCGGGUAGCGAACAGGAUUAGAUACCCUAGUAGUC